rnacentral:rRNA from 1 species
CGAGCACGCGCGUGUGGCAUAUCAAUAAGCGGAGGAAAAGAAACUAACAAGGAUUCCCUAGUAACGGCGAGUGAAGCGGGAAGAGCUCAAAUUUGAAAUCUUAAAGGUUUCCCUUGACGAAUUGUAGUUUAUAGAAGUGUUUUCUGUAGUGGAGCUUCGGUAAAAGUUCUUUGGAAUAGGACAUCAUAGAGGGUGAGAAUCCCGUAUUUGGUCAUUCUUCUAGCGUUGUGAUACACUUUCAACGAGUCGGAUUGUUUGGGAAUGCAGUCCAAAAUGGGUGGUAAAUUUCAUCUAAAGCUAAAUAUUGGCGAGAGACCGAUAGCGAACAAGUACCGUGAGGGAAAGAUGAAAAGAACUUUGAAAAGAGAGUUAAACAGUACGUGAAAUUGUCAAAAGGGAAGCGUUUGACACCAGUGUUGUUUUUCCGAAAAUCAAUUAAGAAUGUUUUAUUUUUGAGGAGUUAUGACUUCAUCGGCUUGCUUCUUUCUUUAUGAAACUUUCUUAAUGCACUUUUCGGUUAACAAGUCAACAUCAAUUUCUUUUGUUGUAAAAGGGUAUGAGGAAGGUGGCUUUCUUUUCGGAGAAAGUGUUUAUAGCCUUGUACCUCUAGCAGUCGGAGAGAUUGAGGUCUGCAGCGUAGAUCCUUCGGGGUUAGAUACGUUUGUGCUAAGUUAUAGCUUUUCAUAGACAACUUGUUGACUAUGUUUAGUCUUGUAGCUUACUCGCUGACGCUAUUUUACCUACGCUUAGGAUGUUGAUGUGAUACUGCGAGCA